rnacentral:rRNA from 1 species
UAUACGACCGUACCGCAAACCGACACUGGUGCGCGAGAUGAGUAUUCUAAGGCGCUUGAGAGAACUCAGGAGAAGGAACUCGGCAAAUUGACACCGUAACUUCGGAAGAAGGUGUGCCCUAUUAGUGUGUAGUGAACAACGAAGCAUGAAUGGGUUGCAAAAAAUCGGUGGCUGCGACUGUUUAUUAAAAACACAGCACUCUGCAAACACGAAAGUGGACGUAUAGGGUGUGACGCCUGCCCGGUGCUGGAAGAUUAAAUGAUGGGGUGCAAGCUCUUGAUUGAAGUCCCAGUAAACGGCGGCCGUAACAAUAACGGUCCUAAGGUAGCGAAAUUCCUUGUCGGGUAAGUUCCGACCUGCACGAAUGGCGUAACGAUGGCCACACUGUCUCCUCCUGAGACUCAGCGAAGUUGAAAUGUUUGUGAUGAUGCAAUCUCCCCGCGGAAAGACGGAAAGACCCCAUGAACCUUUACUGUAGCUUUGUAUUGGACUUUGAACAGAUCUGUGUAGGAUAGGUGGGAGGCUUUGAAGCAGGGUCGCUAGAUCUUGUGGAGCCAACGUUGAAAUACCACCCUGGUGUGUUUGAGGUUCUAACCUAGGUCCAUUAUCUGGAUCGGGGACAGUGCAUGGUAGGCAGUUUGACUGGGGCGGUCUCCUCCCAAAGCGUAACGGAGGAGUUCGAAGGUACGCUAGUUACGGUCGGACAUCGUGACGAUAGUGCAAUGGCAUAAGCGUGCUUAACUGCGAGACUGACAAGUCGAGCAGAUGCGAAAGCAGGACAUAGUGAUCCGGUGGUUCUGUAUGGAAGGGCCAUCGCUCAACGGAUAAAAGGUACUCUGGGGAUAACAGGCUGAUACCGCCCAAGAGUUCAUAUCGACGGCGGUGUUUGGCACCUCGAUGUCGGCUCAUCUCAUCCUGGGGCUGUAGCCGGUCCCAAGGGUAUGGCUGUUCGCCAUUUAAAGAGGUACGUGAGCUGGGUUUAAAACGUCGUGAGACAGUUUGGUCCCUAUCUUCCGUGGGCGCUGCAGAUUUGAGGAAGCCUGCUCCUAGUACGAGAGGACCGGAGUGGACACACCUCUGGUGUAUCGGUUGUCACGCCAGUGGCAUUGCCGAGUAGCUAAGUGUGGAAGAGAUAACCGCUGAAAGCAUCUAAGCGGGAAACUCGUUUCAAGAUGAGAUCUGCCGGGGCCUUGAGCCCCCUAAAGAGUCGUUCAAGACCAGGACGUUGAUAGUCAGGUGUGGAAGCG